AUUGUACUCCCUCCGUCCCAAAAUAAGUGACUCAACUUUGUACUAAAGUUAGUACAAAGUUGAGUCACUUAUUUUGGGACGGAGGGAGUAUGUA
rnacentral:pre_miRNA from 1 species